rnacentral:lncRNA from 1 species
GAGAUCCUGAGGACCAGUUUCGUACUGUGGAGGAUGGGAUCUUCAACUCAAACUCUGGACUGGGCUGUCAGCAGCUCUCUGAGUGACCUUGAUGCUCACGGACGGGAGAUGAAUGCAAAAGCUGAGGUAUGUGAUCGAGGCAAAUCCCACCAUCCACCGGGCAUUAAAGGAGACCUGCCAGGAGAUUGCAGGCCCAUGAACUAUGGAACCUUGGGGUAGUUCCUCUCCACGCUCCAGGUGGCUGUGUGGCUGGUAAGGAGUGACUGCCGUGGAGCAGUCACACUGGGUGGUCCACUCUUCACAGUCCUACUGUGGACAGCACUUCCAAGCCAGAGUGAAGAAUGGCACCCCUGUGGGCUGUUGCUCACCCAGGUCCUGUGCUUCGUUCAUGGGAACAUGACAAAACCGUCGUCUUGAGACUUCACUUUCCACUCCUAGUGCCACACACACAGAAGGAACCCCGCCAGCAGAGGAAACAGAUUGCCGAGGAGGAGCCAAAGUGUGACCACCAGGCUAGAAGAGCAGGAACAGAGAUCUAGGGCAGAAAACAACACAACAGGCACGGGUUUGCGAUUAGACCAUCUGGAUUAAACACUGAGGGGAGAGCAAAGGUGAGAGGGGAUGGAGGCACGGGGCAACUCCUCAGCUUCAGAAGGAGUUGAGGUUUGGGGCUAGCUACAUGAGACUGUCUCAAAAAACAAAAGAGGGGGGGGGACACAUGCACACACAGAGACAGACACACACAUACCAUAGAGGGUCACAUGCGCACACAGAUAUGUGCACUCACAGAGAAAAGGAAUGAGCAUAUGCGAGUUCUUGGCACAUAUCUCAAUAGGUGGUCAGUUAAAGCUCUUGUGUGUCACAGACAGACACACAUAUAUCAACAAAUGCAAGGAGUCAAGGCAUUUCCACUUUUUUUUUGGGGGGGGGGUCAAGACAGGGUUUCUCUGCAUAGCCCUAGCUCUCCUGGAACUCACUAUGUAGACCAGGCUGGUCUCAAACUCAAGAAAUCCGCCUGCCUCUGCCUCCCAAGUGCUGGGAUUAAAGGUGUGCGCCACCACGACUGGCUGCAUUUCCAUGCCUAA